UACGUAGGGCGCAAGCGUUGUCCGGAAUUAUUGGGCGUAAAGAGCUCGUAGGCGGUUUGUCGCGUCUGGUGUGAAAUCUCAAGGCUCAACCUUGAGCUUGCAUUGGGUACGGGCAGACUAGAGUGCGGUAGGGGUGACUGGAAUUCCUGGUGUAGCGGUGGAAUGCGCAGAUAUCAGGAGGAACACCGGUGGCGAAGGCGGGUCUCUGGGCCGAUACUGACGCUGAGGAGCGAAAGCGUGGGGAGCGAACAGG
rnacentral:rRNA from 1 species